AAUUUUUGGAAAAUUGACAACGUUGUCGGAAAUUGUCAAAGUUUCCGACGUUGGUAAAUUCGGAAAUUUUUUGAUAAAUGGAGAAAAUGGGUGAUGUCCGGAAAAAUUUUAAGAUGUAACGAAAAAUUUUGGUAUGUCCGGAAAAAUUUUUUGACCCCUAAAAUGGUACACUGACCGAAAUUUUUUUGGCGCCGGGGGGGGUGGUGGAGGUCGCCAAAAAAAAUUUUGUCGGAAACUAUUUUCAGGUUUGUCGGAAAGUACAGC